rnacentral:rRNA from 1 species
UACAGAGGGUGCGAACGUUGCUCGGAAUUACUGGGCGUAAAGCGCGUGUAGGCGGGUCGCAAGUCAGGCGUGAAAUCCCCAGGCUCAACCUGGGAACUGCGCUUGAAACUGCCGGUCUUGAGUAUCGGAGAGGGUGGCGGAAUUCCUGGUGUAGAGGUGAAAUUCGUAGAUAUCAGGAGGAACACCAGCGGCGAAGGCGGCGCUCUGGGCCGGAACUGACGCUGAGGAGCGAAAGCGUGGGGAGCAAACAGG